UACAGAGGGUGCUAGCGUUGUUCGGAAUCAUUGGGCGUAAAGGGCGUGUAGGCGGUUUGUUAAGUCAUGUGUGAAAUCCCUCGGCUCAACCGGGGAACGACGCAUGAAACUGGCAGCUAGAGUACCAAAGAGGAGAGCGGAAUUCCUGGUGUAGCGGUGAAAUGCGCAGAUAUCAGGAAGAACACCCGUGGCGAAGGCGGCUCUCUGGGGACGGUACUGACGCUGAGACGCGAAAGCGUGGGGAGCGAACAGG
rnacentral:rRNA from 1 species